rnacentral:rRNA from 1 species
GUAGGCAGCAAGCGUUGUUCGGAGUUACUGGGCGUAAAGAGUACGUAGGCGGUUUGCUAAGUCUGGUGUGAAAUCUCCUGGCUUAACUGGGAGGGUGCGCUAGAUACUGGCAGGCUUGAGUAUGGGAGAGGAGAGUGGAAUUCCUGGUGUAGCGGUGAAAUGCGUAGAUAUCAGGAGGAACGCCGGUGGUGUAGACGGCUCUCUGGACCAUUACUGACGCUGAGGUACGAAAGCGUGGGUAGCAAACAGGAUUAGAUACCCUGGUAGUCCACGCCCUAAACGAUGCGGACUUGGUGUAGGCAGGUUCAGUCUGUCUGUGCCGGAGCUAACGCGUUAAGUCCGCCGCCUGGGGAGUACGGUCGCAAGGCUG